AAUUGGAGGGCAAGUCUGGUGCCAGCAGCCGCGGUAAUUCCAGCUCCAAUAGCAUAUAUUAAAGUUGUUGCAGUUAAAAAGCUCGUAGUUGAAUUUCGGGGUUAGUAGGUUGGUCAUGCCUCUGGUAUGUACUGGUCUCACUGAUUCCUCCUUCCUUAUGAACCGUAAUGCCAUUAAUUUGGUGUUGCGGGGAAUUUGGACUGUUACUUUGAAAAAAUUAGAGUGUUUAAAGCAGGCUAACGCUUGAAUACAUUAGCAUGGAAUAAUGAAAUAGGACGUUCGAUCUUAUUUUGUUGGUUUCUAGGAUUGACGUAAUGAUUAAUAGGGAUAGUUGGGGGCAUUAGUAUUCAAUUGUCAGAGGUGAAAUUCUUGGAUUUAUUGAAGACUAACUACUGCGAAAGCAUUUGCCAAGGAUGUUUUCAUUAAUCAAGAACGAAAGUUAGGGGAUCGAAGACGAUCAGAUACCGUCGUAGUCUUAACCAUAAACUAUGCCGACUAGGGAUCGGAUGAUGUUAAUUUUUUAAUGACUCAUUCGGCGCCUUACGGGAAACCAAAGUGU
rnacentral:rRNA from 1 species